rnacentral:rRNA from 1 species
GCAGCCUGAUGCAGCCAUGCCGCGUGUGUGAAGAAGGCCUUCGGGUUGUAAAGCACUUUCAGCAGUGAGGAAGGGUAAUGCGUUAAUACCUCAUUAUCUUGACGUUAGCUGCAGAAGAAGCACCGGCUAACUCCGUGCCAGCAGCCGCGGUAAUACGGAGGGUGCGAGCGUUAAUCGGAAUUACUGGGCGUAAAGCGCAUGCAGGCGGUUUGUUAAGCAAGAUGUGAAAGCCCCGGGCUCAACCUGGGAACCGCAUUUUGAACUGGCAGGCUAGAGUCUUGUAGAGGGGGGUAGAAUUUCAGGUGUAGCGGUGAAAUGCGUAGAGAUCUGAAGGAAUACCGGUGGCGAAGGCGGCCCCCUGGACAAAGACUGACGCUCAGAUGCGAAAGCGUGGGGAGCAAACAGGAUUAGAUACCCUGGUAGUCCACGCUGUAAACGAUGUCUACUUGGAGGUUGCGGUCUUGAACUGUGGCUUUCGGAGCUAACGCGUUAAGUAGACCGCCUGGGGAGUACGGUCGCAAGAUUAAAACUCA